rnacentral:rRNA from 1 species
AGGCAGUUUGACUGGGGCGGUCGCCUCCUAAAGAGUAACGGAGGCGCCCCAAGGUUCCCUCAGAAUGGUUGGAAAUCAUUCGAAGAGUGCAAAGGCAGAAGGGAGCUUGACUGCGAGACCUACAAGUCGAGCAGGGACGAAAGUCGGGCUUAGUGAUCCGGUGGUACCGCAUGGAAGGGCCAUCGCUCAACGGAUAAAAGCUACCCUGGGGAUAACAGGCUUAUCUCCCCCAAGAGUCCACAUCGACGGGGAGGUUUGGCACCUCGAUGUCGGCUCAUCGCAUCCUGGGGCUGAAGUAGGUCCCAAGGGUUGGGCUGUUCGCCCAUUAAAGCGGUACGCGAGCUGGGUUCAGAACGUCGUGAGACAGUUCGGUCCCUAUCUGUCGUGGGCGUAGGAAAUUUGAGAGGAGCUGUCCUUAGUACGAGAGGACCGGGAUGGACGUACCGCUGGUGCACCAGUUGUUCCGCCAGGAGCAUGGCUGGGUAGCUACGUACGGACGGGAUAAGCGCUGAAAGCAUCUAAGCGUGAAGCCCCCCUCAAGAUGAGAUUUCCCAGUAUGUAAGACCCCUUGUAGACGACGAGGUAGAUAGGUUGGAGGUGGAAGUGCAGCAAUGCAUGGAGCUGACCAAUACUAAUCGGUCGAGGGCUUAUCCAAAA